GGAGGCGGUGGAGUGCCAGCAAUUAUAGGGUCAUAUUUGGCUCAUUUAUGUCUUAAUUCUUGCAUAGAAAAAAAUGAAUUUAUCUCCAGCACUCUCUCUUUCCCUCAAUGAUUAUCACAACCACCUCAAAAAUACUCCAUGGGUUCUUGAAGAAACCCUCUUAAUUUCCAUUCAAGUGUGAAGGGUGAUUAAAACUCUUGAAGGAGUACAAGUUAAGAGAACAAUUUUCCAUAAUUUGAGGGACUGACCAUACAGAUUUGCACUUCCGUGGCUAGGGAUCUCAUAUAGAAACUUGAAGAUUGGUGAGUCCUCAUGUUUCGAGAACCGAGUUUGGUUUCCCUUUUGUCUUUACUUUCAGUUUUGGAUCAUGAUGUACGGGCUACGCCCCGAUCAUUUCUUAUGUACUAGAUGGCUUUGAGACAAUGUUUAGAC